rnacentral:other from 1 species
AUCAGCCUGCGGUGUUGGUGAACUUCGAGUUUAAUUCGAACCGAACACCAAUUCACAUCGGGAGCUUUACAUUAAAGCACGUACAACAUGCCUUAACUAAGGAAGUUGGAGAUGCUUUUGCGAGCACCCACCUGCUUAAGGGCGGGUUCGUGAUAUCUGGAAGAUAACCGCAUCUGCGGGCAUGCA